rnacentral:rRNA from 1 species
UUACAAUGUAGAGUUUGAUCCUGGCUCAGGAUGAACGCUAGCUACAGGCUUAACACAUGCAAGUCGAGGGGCAGCAUGACGAUAGCUUGCUAUUGUUGAUGGCGACCGGCGCACGGGUGAGUAACGCGUAUCCAACCUGCCCUUGUCCAUCGGAUAACCCGUCGAAAGGCGGCCUAACACGAUAUGCAGUUCUCCGCAGGCAUCUAACGAGAACGAAAUGUAAAGGAGAAGGAUGGGGAUGCGUCUGAUUAGCUUGUUGGCGGGGUAACGGCCCACCAAGGCGACGAUCAGUAGGGGUUCUGAGAGGAAGGUCCCCCACAUUGGAACUGAGACACGGUCCAAACUCCUACGGGAGGCAGCAGUGAGGAAUAUUGGUCAAUGGGCGAGAGCCUGAACCAGCCAAGUAGCGUGCAGGAUGACGGCCCUAUGGGUUGUAAACUGCUUUUAUGCGGGGAUAAAGUGAGCCACGUGUGGCUUAUUGCAGGUACCGCAUGAAUAAGGACCGGCUAAUUCCGUGCCAGCAGCCGCGGUAAUACGGAAGGUCCGGGCGUUAUCCGGAUUUAUUGGGUUUAAAGGGAGCGUAGGCCGUCUGGUAAGCGUGUUGUGAAAUGUCGGGGCUCAACCUGGGCAUUGCAGCGCGAACUGUCAGACUUGAGUGCGCGGGAAGUAGGCGGAAUUCGUCGUGUAGCGGUGAAAUGCUUAGAUAUGACGAAGAACUCCGAUUGCGAAGGCAGCCUGCUGUAGCGCAACUGACGCUGAAGCUCGAAAGCGUGGGUAUCGAACAGGAUUAGAUACCCUGGUAGUCCACGCGGUAAACGAUGGAUGCUCGCUGUUUGCGUCUGACGUAAGCGGCCAAGCGAAAGCGUUAAGCAUCCCACCUGGGGAGUACGCCGGCAACGGUGAAACUCAAAGGAAUUGACGGGGGCCCGCACAAGCGGAGGAACAUGUGGUUUAAUUCGAUGAUACGCGAGGAACCUUACCCGGGCUUGAACUGUAGGCGAACGAUUCAGAGAUGAUGAGGCCCUUCGGGGCGCCUAUGGAGGUGCUGCAUGGUUGUCGUCAGCUCGUGCCGUGAGGUGUCGGCUUAAGUGCCAUAACGAGCGCAACCCCUGUUCUCAGUUGCCAUCGGGUAAUGCCGGGCACUCUGUGAAGACUGCCUCCGCAAGGAGUGAGGAAGGUGGGGAUGACGUCAAAUCAGCACGGCCCUUACGUCCGGGGCUACACACGUGUUACAAUGGCAUGUACAGAAAGCAGGCCGUAUGCAAAUACGGUCGAAUCCCUAAAACAUGUCUCAGUUCGGACUGGGGUCUGCAACCCGACCCCACGAAGCUGGAUUCGCUAGUAAUCGCGCAUCAGCCAUGGCGCGGUGAAUACGUUCCCGGGCCUUGUACACACCGCCCGUCAAGCCAUGAAAGCCGGGGGCGCCUGAAGUCCGUGACCGCAAGGGUCGGCCUAGGGUGAAACCGGUGAUUGGGGCUAAGUCGUAACAAGGUAGCCGUACCGGAAGGUGCGGCUGGAACACCUCCUUUCU